CCUUCCGCCUUAAACGUAGCAGCUGGAACUUUGUUUAAAAAACAAGGAUAAUUAGCCUCAGGUAGCCAGAUACUGACUGAAAAACCUUGUAAACAACCCGUAAAGGCGGUAAGCGCAAAUGCACAAGUUAUCUAUGGCAUACAUAUUAUAAGUGCCGACAAAGCUGACGGCGUUAAGAACGCAAGAACAUAACUUAAACAAGCUGAUCAAAAUGUGAAAACAGACGGAUGGACUCCGCACGGCCUCGACAGCCAAGUCAACGCAACGAGAUGAUAUCCUUUACCUUUAAUUGGAGACGGCGAAUGGGCCUGAAGGCCAAUUUCAGUGUAAAACCAUGUGACCGCGUCGUCUUUUGGUUCUUCGGCCAGAAGAACACGUUCUACGUGUGACACCUUUCACUGCUUUCUUCGGCAAAACAAAUCCUUCGAUCUGUGUUGUAUGCGUUUCUCGUACAAUAGAUGACACAAACAUCUUGAUGACGACUGCAACAGCGACGCCAAGGGAAUAAUCCAUCCUUGAUUAUAGGGACUUGGCGAUGCUUCGUGUACAGAAUCAAGCAUCUCCGGUCAAAGAAGUCUCCGUACCGCGAACUAGUUCAUGGAAACUAGCGCAUGAAGCUCCGUGAUGCGUUUUAGGCAUAAAAUGAAAAAGAUCAGAGGUGAAACUUGGAGGACACUUA